rnacentral:rRNA from 1 species
UACGAAGGGGGCUAGCGUUGCUCGGAAUUACUGGGCGUAAAGGGUUCGUAGGUGGCCAACUAAGUCAGACGUGAAAUCCCUCAGCUUAACUGGGGAACUGCGUCUGAUACUGGUUGGCUUGAGUGCAGGAGAGGAACGCGGAAUUCCAGGUGUAGCGGUGAAAUGCGUAGAUAUCUGGAGGAACACCGGUGGCGAAGGCGGCGUUCUGGACUGCAACUGACACUGAGGAACGAAAGCCAGGGAGCAAACGGG